rnacentral:rRNA from 1 species
AGAGUUUGAUCAUGGCUCAGGAUGAACGCUGGCGGCGUGCCUAACACAUGCAAGUCGAGCGAUCUUCUUCGGAAGAGAGCGGCGGACGGGUGAGUAACGCGUGGGUAACCUGCCCUGUACACACGGAUAACAUACCGAAAGGUAUGCUAAUACGAGAUAAUAUGCUUUUAUCGCAUGGUAGAAGUAUCAAAGCUCCGGCGGUACAGGAUGGACCCGCGUCUGAUUAGCUAGUUGGUAAGGUAACGGCUUACCAAGGCGACGAUCAGUAGCCGACCUGAGAGGGUGAUCGGCCACAUUGGAACUGAGACACGGUCCAAACUCCUACGGGAGGCAGCAGUGGGGAAUAUUGCACAAUGGGCGAAAGCCUGAUGCAGCAACGCCGCGUGAGCGAUGAAGGCCUUCGGGUCGUAAAGCUCUGUCCUCAAGGAAGAUAAUGACGGUACUUGAGGAGGAAGCCCCGGCUAACUACGUGCCAGCAGCCGCGGUAAUACGUAGGGGGCUAGCGUUAUCCGGAAUUACUGGGCGUAAAGGGUGCGUAGGUGGUUUCUUAAGUCAGAGGUGAAAGGCUACGGCUCAACCGUAGUAAGCCUUUGAAACUGGGAAACUUGAGUGCAGGAGAGGAGAGUGGAAUUCCUAGUGUAGCGGUGAAAUGCGUAGAUAUUAGGAGGAACACCAGUUGCGAAGGCGGCUCUCUGGACUGUAACUGACACUGAGGCACGAAAGCGUGGGGAGCAAACAGGAUUAGAUACCCUGGUGGUCCACGCCGUAAACGAUGAGUACUAGCUGUCGGAGGUUACCCCCUUCGGUGGCGCAGCU